AGAUUGAACGCUGGCGGCAUGCCUAACACAUGCAAGUCGAACGGGAGUAGCAAUACUCUAGUGGCGGACGGGUGAGGAAUACGUAGGAAUUUGCCCUUAAGUGGGGGAUAACCCGGGGAAACCCGGAUUAAUACCGCAUGACCUCGAAAGAGCAAAGUGGGGGAUCGCAAGACCUCACGCUUUUGGAGAAGCCUACGUCGGAUUAGCUAGUUGGUGAGGUAAUGGCUCACCAAGGCGACGAUCCGUAACUGGUCUGAGAGGAUGAUCAGUCACACCGGAACUGAGACACGGUCCGGACUCCUACGGGAGGCAGCAGUGGGGAAUAUUGGACAAUGGGCGCAAGCCUGAUCCAGCAAUGCCGCGGUGUGUGGAAGAAGGCCUUCGGUUGGUAAAGACGACUUUAAGUUACGGGUAAGGAAAAAAACUACGACUCUAAACACAGUGAGUCUUGACGGUACCGAACAGAAGUAAGACUACCGGACUAACUCUAGU
rnacentral:rRNA from 1 species